rnacentral:rRNA from 1 species
UGGGAAUUUGGACAAUGGCGAAAGCCUGAUCCAGCAAUGCCGCGUGUGUGAAGAAGGCCUUCGGGUUGUAAAGCACUUUUGUCCGGAAAGAAAUCCUUGGCUCUAAUACAGUCGGGGGAUGACGGUACCGGAAGAAUAAGCACCGGCUAACUACGUGCCAGCAGCCGCGGUAAUACGUAGGGUGCAAGCGUUAAUCGGAAUUACUGGGCGUAAAGCGUGCGCAGGCGGUUUGCUAAGACCGAUGUGAAAAUCCCCGGGCUCAACCUGGGAACUGCAUUGGUGACUGGCAGGCUAGAGUAUGGCAGAGGGGGGUAGAAUUCCACGUNUAGCAGUGAAAAUGCGUAGAGAUGUGGAGGAAAUACCGAUGGCG